AGAAAUGGCUGUUCGGCUGAGACUCUUAAUGUGGUUUCCUUAGCUUGCAGCUGAAUAGGAUCACUGAUUAGUAUAGGAUUUGAGCACUGGACUCAAAUGGUGAAUAACACUUUAACAAGAACUAAAGUGCAUCAAGGUACGGCAGCCUGAGGAGCAGAGCUGAGCAGGAGGAGAAGCUCAAUGCACAUAAUCCAGAAUCGAUUCACUAAUGUCCUCGAGCUCACUCUGGGGUAACAAGCAAGUGUCAGCACUUGGGCAUAUGAACCCCAGAAACAGCUGUCACUUGAAGACCUCGAAACAACAGCUGAGGAAAGCCUGAGAGGAUACAGAGGUUUUGACUGUUAUCUGCAGUGAAGGACAGCCGGACUUCAGAAAACAGAACUCUAACUGUAUUAGUCAAUAUUCACGGAUUUUGUUUUACU
rnacentral:lncRNA from 1 species